CACGGAGUUAGCCGAUGCUUUUUCUUCGGGUACUCUCGGAACGCCACACGUGGCGUCUUUUGCUCCCCGACAAAAGAGGUUUACAAUCCAUAGGACCGUCUUCCCUCACGCGACUUGGCUGGUUCAGGCUCGCGCCCAUUGACCAAUAUUCCUCACUGCUGCCUCCCGUAGGAGUCUGGUCCGUGUCUCAGUACCAGUGUGGGGGACCUUCCUCUCAGAACCCCUACGCAUCGUCGCCUUGGUGGGCCGUUACCCCGCCAACUAGCUAAUGCGCCGCAUGGCCAUCCGUAGCCGGUGUUACCCUUUAAACUCCAUGAGAUGCCUCUCGGAGUUAUUACGCGGUAUUAGACGGAAUUUCUUCCGCUUAUCCCCCUGCUACGGGCAGGUUCCAUACGUGUUACUCACCCGUGCGCCGGUCGCCGGCGGAAGUAUUGCUACCUCCCCGCUGCCCCUCGACUUGCAUGUGUUAAGCCUGUCGCUAGCGUUCAUCCUGAGCCAGGAUCAAACUCU
rnacentral:rRNA from 1 species